UAUUAUAUUAUUAUAUAAGUUUUAAAAUUAGUUUUAUCUUUGGCCUAUUUUUAGGGUGGAUACUCCAACUUGCAUUUUGUAAUGUGGUUCAAAUAUUUAUAACAAUGUAGCAUUUCACUACGAGGGUGUUAAAACGUAACAAAGACCUCCACCCUUCAAUCUAAAAUAGACCACUAAUAUUUGGAAAUGGAUUGGAAGCAAAUUGGAACAAUUUUUUGUGAAUAAAGAUGACAUAUUUUAUCAGAAAAACACUCUUUCGUGUGAAAAACUUGCAUUUUUUUAAGGGUACGAGGGUGUUCCGGUACCCCCUCCGGUCCUCUAGACACCCCUUUCAUCUAUAGAGUUAUAUGAACUUGUAGCCUACUCUUACAUCUAUCUUUUGAUACCAAGGUAUAGACAUUUGGAUAAGAUUUGACAAAGUUAUAACAAUUUUAGU
rnacentral:lncRNA from 1 species